AUCUACAGCCAUGCCACCCUGAACAUGCCCGAUCUCAUCUGAUCUCGGAAACUAAGGAAGGUCGGGUCUAGUUAGAUGGGAGACCACCUAGGAAGACCGGGUACUGUAGGCA
rnacentral:rRNA from 1 species